CCUACGGGCGGCAGCAGUGGGGAAUAUUGCACAAUGGGGGAAACCCUGAUGCAGCAACGCCGCGUGAAGGAAGACGGUUUUCUGAUUGUAAACUUCUAUCAAUAGGGAAGAAAGAAAUGACGGUACCUAAUUAUGACGCCCCGGCUAACUACGUGCCAGCAGCCGCGGUAAUACGUAGGGGGCAAGCGUUCUCCGGAAUUACUGGGUGUAAAGGGAGAGUAGGCGGCAAGGUAAGCGAUAUGUGAAAGCCUUAAGCUUAACUUAAGGAUGGCAUAACGAACUAUCUAGCUAGAGUACAGGAGAGGAAAGCGGAAUUCCUAGUGUAGCGGUGAAAUGCGUAGAUAUUAGGAAGAACACCAGUGGCGAAGGCGGCUUUCUGGACUGAAACUGACGCUGAGGCUCGAAAGCGUGGGGAGCGAACAGGAUUAGAUACCCCAGUAGUC
rnacentral:rRNA from 1 species